UCAAGCCACGCCAAUGACAAUGCAUUGUGAUAACCAAGCAGCCAUCCACAUUGCCUCCAACUCGGUGUUUCAUGAGAGAACCAAGCACAUUGAAGUUGAUUGUCACAAGGUGAGGCAGAUGAUCAUUCUAGGAGUCAUCUUGCCAUGCUACACAAGGAGUGAAGAUCAGUUGGCUGAUGUGUUCACCAAGGCUGCAUAACAGAAGACAAUGGAGUCCAUUCACAUCAGGUUGGGCCUCAUUGAUCUUGGGAAGAGAAGGAGCUGAUCCCCUAAGUCAUGAGGUCUUUACUCUUUUUCCCUCAUCAAGGUUUUGUCCCAAUGGGUUUUCUUUGGUGAGGUUUUUAAUGAGGAAGAUCUCAUGGCCAUCCAAGCUUAGACUGUCACAAAGCUAAGCUUGAGGGGGAGUGUUGAGAUAUGUUGAGGUAUAUGAGAAGGCAUUUAUCACUUUUGAGUAAUGUAAAAGAUAAUCUGAGUUUAGAUAAGAAUAGAGACGAGAUUAGAGUAGAUUUAAGAGAUUAAGAGACUAAUGGAGAAUCAUUGUGAAAAGUAUAGAGAGAUUGAUUUGUUUAGAACUGUCUGAUCUUCAUUAAUAAGAUUAGGAUACAUUAUAUAGUGAGGGAGAGACUCUAGGGUUUCGGAUACAAAAGGAGAAAGCAUGUGGAGUCAAUGGAUAGGAUAAGAAUGCAUUUGAAUCUAUCCAAUGGGAGUGACCGCGUGUGUGAAGCAUCUUUGCUUUAUGCCUUCUUCUUUCCAGCCCAAGACAGGCUGUCACACGCUCCUUCUUCCUUUUGGUAACGGUCUGAUCCUUUAGAUAAGUGAUCAGAGCUUCUUCUUAUCUAGUGAAGUUACUUAAGUAACUCUUGGCUUAACCGUGGCUGAGGUAAGUGUGUACGGCCAUGUACGGCCUUGUACGGCCUUGUACGGAUGCCUCAGCCUCGCUUCUCCAUUCCUCCUAAGCUCCUUCUUCUGCAUUCAUACUUAACCUCUCAAGCCUUCUCUUCUCAUCUAAUGAUCUCAUCUCAACACUCCCCCUCAAGCUUAGCUUUGUGAAAGCCGAAGCUUGGAUAGCCAUGAGAUCUUCCUCAUUAAAAACCUCACCAAAGAAAACCCAUUGGGACAAAACUUUGAUGAGGGAAAAAGUUGAUGAGGGAAAAAGAGCUUCUUACAUCGUAGAGUAAAGACCUCAUGACUUAGGGGAUCAGCUCCUUCUCUUCCCAAGAUCAAUGAGGCCCAAUCUGAUGUGAAUGGACUCCAUUGUCUUCUGUCUUGCAGCCUUAGUGAAUACAUCAGCCAACUGAUCUUCACUUCUCGUGUAGCAUGGCAAGAUGACUCCUAGGACAAUCAUCUGCCUCACCUUGUGACAAUCAACCUCAAUGUGCUUGGUUCUCUCAUGGAACACAGAGUUGGAGGCUAUGUGGAUCGCGGCUUGGUUAUCACAAUGCAUGGUCAUUGGUGUGGCUUGAUCAAUCCCCAAAUGCUUCAAGAUGCCCUUGAUCCAUACUAGCUCAUUUGUAAGCUUCAGCAUGGCUCUAUAUUCAGCUUCUGCACUUGAGCAAGACACCACCUUUUGCUUCUUGCUCUUCUAAGUCACCAAGUUUCCUCCAAUGAAUGUGCAAUAGCCUGUGGUUGAUCUCCUGUCUGCUCUAUCACCAGCCCAAUCCGUAUCACAGUAUCCAACCACUUCAGUGCUCCCAUUGCAACCCAUCCAUACUCCUUGAUCAGGUGAGCCGUUGAGAUACAUCAAGAUUCUCUCCACCAUGCGCCAAUUAUGCUCCUUAGGCACUUGCAUGUGUUGACUCACCUGAUUCACAGCAAAACAAAUGUCAGGCCUUGUUAUGGUAAGAUAAAUCAAUUUGCCAACUAGUUUUCUAUAGAGUUUAGGAUCGUGAUAAGGUUUGCUGUCUUCAAUCUCCCCCUCUCGUGGGACUUUGUAGCCAUCCUCCAUAGGCAUCCUUGUUGUCUUGCCUCCAUAAGCACCUGCACCUUUCAAAAGAACAAGUGUAUACUUCCUUUGGGACAUGAACAAACCUUCCUUGGAUCUACAUAUCUCAAUUCCAAGAAAGUAUUUCAUUUCUCCCAAGUCUGUAAUCUCAAACAUGGAUUUAAGGAACUCCUUGGUUGCUAUGAUACCUUCCUUAUCACUUCCUGUGAUAAUGAUAUCAUCAACAUACACAGGGAGUGCAAUCAUACCUGAGGGAGUAGUGAGAGUGAAGAGGGUGUGAUCUAGUUCAGACUUCUUGAAGCCUCGGCCAUUCAGAGUAGUGCUCAGCUUGUUGUACCAAGCUCUUGGUGAUUGCUUCAGUCCAUAGAUAACUUUCUUCAGUCUCAACACAUUCCCUCUCUUCACUAAGUGUUCCAAGCAUGGAGGUGGAUGCAUAUACACUUCAUCCUCCAUCUCUCCUUGUAGAAAUGCAUUCUUCACAUCCAUUUGCCAUAAGCCCCAUCCAAGGUUCACAGCUAAGCUUAAUACAAUCCGGAUUGUAUGUAGUUUAGCUACUGGUGCAAAGGUCUCAAUGUAAUCUUCUCCAUAAGUUUGAGUAAAGCCUCUUGCAACCAAUCUUGACUUCUUCCUCUCAACCUUUCCAUCAGCCUUAUACUUGAUUGUGAAGAUCCAUCUACUAGUCACAGCCUUCUUCCCUUUUGGUAACUCACUCUCAUACCAUGUAUCAUUCUUGAUCAUAGCUCCUGCCUCAGCUCCAACUGAUUCCUUCCAUUCUUUAUCCAUCAUUGCCUCUUCAUAGCUUCUUGGUAUGUAGUUCUCAUCCAAGUUUACCAUAAAAGCACAAUGUUCUUCAGGGUAUUGAGCAAAGGAACACACAGCCUGAGAAGGAUGCUCCACAGCUUGGGCAUUGUAGUACACUCGCGUGUUUACCCAACUAGAAGGAUCCUUUCUCAGCCUUGUGCUUCAUCUCAAUACUGGUUGGUUCUGAACCUGCUCCUCUUGGACACUCGGUUCUGGUGCUUCAGCCUGAGCUUCUACUUCUCCUUGGCUUUGAUCACCUUGAUUGUGAGAUCCUGAAACACUCUCUUCUUCUUCUUCACUCAAGCCGGCUCCAUCCUGACCAUCUUCUUGAGUUUCAGAUUCCCUUCCCCCCUCACGAUCAAGGUGAGGUGACUGAUUAGCUUCAACAGGGGCCGGAGAACUCUCAUGUUGGUUCCUACUCCCCACAUUUGGAUCCUGGUUCAUCUUGAUACCUAGACCUUCCAAAAUAAGUCUUAGAGCGCCUGCCUUAUCUGAUGUUAAAUCCUUUAGCUCCUCUUGAUUCUUUUCUUGAUAGUAUCCUCUUGCUUCUAUGAACUUCACAUCUCUAGAGAUAGUAUCCUCUUGCUUUCUUGCUUCUAUGAACUUCACAUCUCUAGAGAUUAGGACUCUUCUAGUUUCUGGAUCAUAGCACUUGUAUCCCUUUUGUGUUGUUGAGUAGCCAAUGAACAUAGCCUUAGUGCUCCUUGCAUCUAGCUUGUUUCUCAACUCUCCUGGUACCAACACAAAGCAUAAACAUCCAAAUACUCUCAAGUAAUCCACUGAUGGCUUGUGCUUGUUCAGAACUUCAAAUGGUGCUUGAUCCUUCAACACCUUUGUGGGAAUCCUGUUGAUCAAGUAACAAGCAGUAGCCACAGCAUCACUCCAAAACCUCUUUGGAACGUUUGCUUGGAACAUCAGUGACCUAGCAACCUCCAUCAAGUCUCGGUUCUUCCUCUCAGCUACCCCAUUCUGUUGUGGAGUAUAAGGACAGCUUGUUUGAUGCAAGAUCCCAUGAUGCUCUAGAUGACUCUUGAACGCAUAGCUUGUGUACUCACCUCCAUUAUCUGAUCUAAAAAUUUUAAUCUUGGCAUUAUAAUGGUUAGUCACAUAAGCUUGAAAGUUCUUAAAUGCAUCUAUCACUCUAUCUUUUGAUGGGAUUAAAGUUAACCAGGUGUAUUUGGAUUUUUCAUCAAUGAAUGUGACAAAGUAUUUAUGAUUGUCUCUAGAUAUGCAAGGUGCAGUCCAUACAUCAGAAUGAAUAAGAUCAAAGCACUUAUCAUAAACACUAGUAGAGUUUGGAAACACAGUUUUACAAUGCUUGCCUAAAAUGCAAGCUUCACAAUCCUUAUUCUCAAAUAAAACACCUGGUAACAUCAAGUUCAAAGCUCUACCAUGAGGAUGUCCUAAUCUAGCAUGCCACAAAGCAUUUUUAUUUAAACUAGAAGCAGCAGUAAACGAGCAAUUGUAAUUGGAAACAGGAUCAAGUUCUUCAAGCAAAUACAACUCUCCUUUAGUGAUUCCUUUUCCAAUCAAGUGGCUGCUCUCAAUGUCCUGAAACUUUACAUCAUUAGGACUGAAUAUAACAUUGCAAUUCAAAUCAGUUGUGCAUUUCUUAACAGAUAGCAAGUUAGAUGUAAAUUCAGGCAUGUAGAAAGCUCUAGUGUUCUUAUCAAACAACUUCAAAUUUCCUAUUCCUCUAAUAGGGAUCUUGUCCCCAUUUGCAAUCAUAACAUGUCCACUAGUUGGUUCUAUAUCCUUAAUCAGAUUUGUACCACUAAUCAUGUGAUGAGAUGCACCAGAAUCAACAAUUAAUGGCUUAGUUAUACUGCUAGCAUUAUGACAAAGGUUCAAAGGUGAUCUAAAUGCAUUUAGUUCAUGAUUCAUCCUAGCAUUUCUAGCAAAGGUGUACUCAUGUCUAGCAUGUUCAUUGCUUUGAACUCUAUCCAUCCUAGCAAUAUCAGCAACACAAGGAGAUGUUUCUAUAGUCUUAGCUAUCAUGGAUGCACCAAAGGAGUACCCAUGAGUGUUACCAUUCUCCUUGAGCAUUUUGAUGAGAGCAUCCAUCUCGGAUCUCCUGAUGAAGUCUUGAUCAUUGCCACGGAUGUUAGGAGCUCCUGAGUAUGUCACCAGUGCCUUGCCAUCACCCUCACGCCCCUCUCCUUCAGCUCCACGGCUAGAUGAUCCGGCUCCACUUGUUCCCUCAGAAGCAUGAGCUCUUGCCUCCCUUUCCUUCAUGAACUUCGCCGGCUUCAGAUGAGGAUGUAGUAUCCAGCACUGGCUCUUCUUGUGUCUAUGCUUCUUGCAGUGAUCACAAUUGCCAUUGAACUUCCUAUCCUCAUACUUGCCGUGUGCUGCUCUGUUGGCUUGUGGUAUCUCCUCAUGAUCAGUUUUCGCAGCAUUGGCUAGAGACAAGUCUCCUUUACCACCAAACAAGCCAAUGGAGCCUUGCUCCUUUUGUAUCUGAGCACACGCAUCCUCCAGGUUCGGAAGCUUCUCAGCCCUCAACAUAUGCUGAAUCAACCCACUGUAGCUUGGAUUCAAUGUAAGCAACAACCCAAAGACCUUAUCUUGCUCUCUCCUUUCAUUUAGCAGCUCCGGAUCAGUUGUGCUCGGCCUCAGCAUCUCCAGCUCUGACCAGAGUGUCCGGAACCUCCCCAAAUGCUUAGUGAACUCCAUGUCCUCUUGAGUUAGAUCAUUCAAAGCUUUCUUCACUUCAAAGACCCGGCUGAGGUUAGAGGUGUUUCCAUACACCUUCUUCAAUGUUUCCCACAGCUCCUUGGCUGUCUCACAAUAGCUGUAAGCGUCUAGAAUGGCUGGCUCCAACGAGCUAUGAAGAGAUAACAUCACCAUCAUGUCCUCUUGUUGCCACUUCUCAGCUUCAGCUUCCGAGACACUCUCCUUGUCUCCUCCUUGAGUAAUGAGCUUUGGAGCCUCACCUGAUGUGAUGUGCUUCACCAUCCUAGACCAUACUAGGUAGUUACUUCCCUUGUAAGUCACAGCAACCUUCAUCUUGGAACCACUCUCCAUCUUCAACAGUUUCACUUCAAUAACUUGUAAAAGACUUGAUCUUGAGACUCAGAACUACAACACCAGCUCAAACCCUUCUGUGCCUUGUCUUUACUCUUCAAAGAACCCUCAAAAAGCUAGAUAAGACUUCUGGAAUGAAGAUGUAGCUCCCGGGAUGCAGCUUCUUCCAAGAACACUCACACCACUCUCACUUGAUCUCUCAAAGUUUCACGUUUGAAUCUUCAAGAGAAAAACGCCAAGAACUCAGAUUGAAAUCAACCUGGCUCUGAUACCAUUGAAUAAAUCUCAUAUAUCACUUUUGAGUAAUGUAAAAGAUAAUCUGAGUUUAGAUAAGAAUAGAGACGAGAUUAGAGUAGAUUUAAGAGAUUAAGAGACUAAUGGUGAAUCAUUGUGAAAAGUAUAGAGAGAUUGAUUUGUUUAGAACUGUCUGAUCUUCAUUAAUGAGAUUAGGAUACAUUAUAUAGUGAGGGAGAGACUCUAGGGUUUUGGAUACAAAGGGAGAAAGCAUGUGGAGUCAAUGGAUAGGAUAAGAAUGCAUUUGAAUCUAUCCAAUGGGAGUGACCGCGUGUGUGAAGCAUCUUUGCUUUAUGCCUUCUUCUUUCCAGCCCAAGACAGGCUGUCACACGCUCCUUCUUCCUUUUGGUAACGGUCUGAUCCUUUAGAUAAGUGAUCAGAGCUUCUUCUUAUCUAGUGAAGUUACUUAAGUAACUCUUGGCUUAACCGUGUCUGAGGUAAGUGUGUACGGCUAUGUACGGCCUUGUACGAAUGCCUCAGCCUCGCUUCUCCAUUCCUCCUAAGCUUUCUUCUUCUGCAUUCAUAAUUAACCUCUCAAGCCUUCUCUUCUCAUCUAAUGAUCUCAUCUCAACAGCAUUGAGGAGUUAAGGACAUGAGAAAGCAAAGGAGUGAAAGGAAAGGGAUUGGAGAGUGAGCUAAGGAAUGGUACGGACGGGCCAUCCGUACACUGACAGUACCAAGGUGAAACUAGGACGGUAACUUCACCGAGUAACUCAUAUGAACCGAGGUGAAGUUACACUCGACCAAAAGCUUAUCCAGACAUUGGAG
rnacentral:lncRNA from 1 species